AAAAACAUCGCCUACUUCCUUCUUAGUAGGUAGAUUCUGCCCAAUGAGACUUGAAUGGCCGCAGUAUCCUGACUGUGCUAAGGUAGCAUAAUAAUUUGUCUCUUAAUUGGAGGCUAGUAUGAAUGAACUGACGAAGAAAAGACUGUCUCAGGAGGGGAAGAAAAAAUUUAUAUUCAGGUAAAAAAUCCUGACGGCUGUAGAGGGACGAUAAGACCCUAAAAGCUUUACCCUUAAAACCUAAGCUCCUACAACUUUAUUAGGUCUGCAGGGUUUUCACUGGGGCGGUGUCUCUAUGUAACUAGAGCAGUUAAAACACUCUGAGUGGAUUUAACAACCUUAGCUAAAAUAUAUAAGUAAGUUACUUUAGGGAUAACAGCGCAAUUCUCUGAGAGAGCCCUUAUCGACCAGAGAGAUUACGACCUCGAUGUUGAAUUGAAGACUUAACCAGAGCAGCAUUUGGUUGAAAGGAGACUGUUCGCCUCUUAAACCUUCACGUGAUCUGA
rnacentral:rRNA from 1 species